rnacentral:rRNA from 1 species
UCUACGGGUGGCAGCAGUGGGGAAUAUUGCACAAUGGGGGAAACCCUGAUGCAGCGACGCCGCGUGAGCGAAGAAGUAAUUCGUUAUGUAAAGCUCUAUCAGCAGGGAAGAAAAUGACGGUACCUGAGUAAGAAGCCCCUGCUAAAUACGUGCCAGCAGCCGCGGUCAUACGUAGGGGGCAAGCGUUAUCCGGAUUUAAGGGGGGUAAAGGGAGCGGAGACGGCAGUGCAAGUCUGGGAGGAAAGGCGGGGGUUUAAACUCCGGACUGCUCUGGAUACUGUACGACUGGAGUGAGGGAGAGGUAAGUGGAAUUCCAGGUGUAGCGGUGAAAUGCGUAGAUAUAAGGAGGAACACCAGUGGCGAAGGCAGCUUACUGGACUGUAACUGACGUUGAGGCUCGAAAGCGUGGGGAGCAAACAGGAUUAGAUACCCUGGUAGUC